AUAAUUUGAGACUCCAACAUGUAUUACACAACAAAAUUAUAAUUGAAGUGUCAUCCCAUUUGAAAAUAAACAUUCAGAAGAAGCAAAUACGUAACCAUCCCAAAAUAAGGAUUAUGUAUUUGAACCUCAAGCAGAUGUCUAAUUAGUCUGGUCUCAUCAGACUCCUGAGUAAAAAUUUCCCAUUUCUAAGACUGAUUCCAUUUGAAGGGACCCUUUUGUAUAAUGCUUUAAGGGAAACACAAAUAUCUGCCCCUUUUUUUCAAUCGCCGGGCCAAUUUUAUAAUAAUUGGAUACUUGUCCCCCAAACAUUUCAAACCCUUAUUUCUCCCUUUUCCCUUUUGGCACAGAGUCGGGAAUAUUGUACCCCAAUCACCUGUGGGCUUCAUAUCCACCUUGAAUGUGAAGGCUAAGCCACGAGGCCAGAACAGCACUCUGCAAGUUGCAGAAUAGGUUUUCGCAUUUAAGUGGUUUACCGCAAAGUUAUUUGUGUGUACCAAUGGUGAUACGCACAAACUACAUCAUGGAAUCGACCCAAAAGCCCACUGCCUCGGGAGAAGAAUAGAAUUCCCUUGUGCCAAUAUGCACACAGCAUUUGAAUGUGUGUUACCCUCCCAAUCUUAUCUUUCUGUAGAUAUAUGCAACUGCUGAAAAAAGUAAUGACCAACAGAUUUUCUACAACAAUCAAAGCAAUCAUGACUUGGAAUGAGAAGGUAACAUUUCCUCGGUAAGAUCAGACUUGCAAAAAAUGAAUCGACUUUGCAUUUACUAUUGCAGCAAAGAUUGAACAGCAAUAUGUAUAGCAAAUUAACACUAGCAAGCUGACAUGGGCUGUCGCAUGAAAUAAUAAAAUGUUCACAGCCAACAAAGGCUCUACCUCAACUGUAGUUAUCAUCAUUAAUCCAUGUUAUCUCAGAGGACCACCACAUCUGAUUAGCAAGCAAAGCAUAAUUGACCUCACGCAAUUCCACAAAGGAUAAAAACAAGGCAUUAACGUGUUUGCACUUGAUGAUCAGGCAAACAUGGUAGAGUUGCUUAUGCAGCUUCAGUGCCCUUCUAUGAGAUUUUUAGAAGAAAACUUUUCUGUCUGCCCCAUAGAUGCUCCAACUUUAAUCAAGUAUUUGCUCGUUUCUGGUUUAGCUUUCUAGAAUGAGGCAAACUCAAAAAGUUCAGUCUUUCGUAUUUUUUUCUUGCUAUUGGUCAAUGGUUUUCACGUCAAACUCCAUAAAGUGGUAGGAAAGUUUUGACAAAUGAGUAUGCAAGUGCACCCGUGAAAAUGUAGCUGUCCACUCGGUCCAGUAUUCCACCUGCACGCCAAUAUUAGAGAAUAAAAAAAGUGGUAUUUAACUCAAAUGCAUGAUAGACAAGGAUACCAAUUAAAGAUCAAAAAUAUACCACAAGGGAAAAAAAAGUUUUAUCGGUGUAUUGGCCCAGUCUGUCAACUUAUUGUCCAACGGUCAAACAAGGUAGCAGAAUUCACAUUAUAGAACAAGACUAAAAUGUCUUAAGGAUGUAUGCAAAACUAUAAUGGAUUAAAUCACCUUACAUUAUCAGCCUGACAAAUAAAUUGAUAAAGAACAAGCUUUCACAAAGAGCAAAUCCAGUACUGAUACUUUUUAUCUUUAACAUGUUAAAAAGAAUGGUCAUGCUAGCCUGCAGGCAGGACUUGUUUCCAAAGAAAAAGUACCUGAUCAUUCCAUUUUAAUCUUUGAUUUUCAGGUGUUUGAAUCGGCAAGUCAGGAGCAUCAUAUAGAACAAAAAAGAGGGAGUACACUACAAAGGCACAUUCACAUCCACCAUAGUCCUUUCAUACAAAAAAAAUUUUGAAGAGGAGAUGGUGAAGAAAAGAAAAUCAGUACCACUGCAUUUUCUCUAACUGUUUACCCUUCAACCUAACAUUUGCCUUUAUCCUUUCAUUGCCAAGUACCUGGAGUUAGCAUGUUCAUCUCCAUGCCUCCUCUUCUGAAGACAUUUCUUUUUGCGUGUUUUCUCUAGUUUCAUUCAUCAAUAGAAUUGGAGCACAUACAACAGGGCCUUGUUUAGGGUUUUAAAUUAUAUUCAGAAAGUAUACUAAGAACAUUGGAACACAGACAAAAUUCAGGGUUCUAGUAACCCUAAUUAAUCACCUCUCCCUUUUCUCUGGGCACGGGUGUUACGAAGCAGAGUUUUGAAGACCCAAACCGUGUCCAGGUAUGAGAGAACCAGAGUCCUUGACACCUGCAUCUCGUUUGAUCAUUGAUUCCGUAAGAUCACCAAAUAUUGACCCAAAGAAAUUCAGAAACCCAAAAGCUAUUGCACUUAGCAAUGAUGUUGGCCAGGACAAAAUCUUUGAUAGUAUCACAGAAGUUGCUAUACAGCCACCCAAGCCUGCAAUAGUCCCUUCCCAUGUCUUCUUUGGACUAAUACUAGUUAAUGGUGUCCUCCCAAAUGCCUUGCCACCUAUAAAAGCAAACGUAUCAGCAGCUAUGAUGCAGCUAAAACAAAUCAGGGUUGCCACAAGGCCCACAGUCCAAUGAGCUUGGCCUCCAAAAAGAACAGGCCAUAAUGCUCCUAUU
rnacentral:misc_RNA from 1 species